CAGCCCGCAACUUGCACCCAGCCAGCCGGCGUGUCCUCCCCGCAACACGCUGCAGGCCAAUCCGCUCACUCACUCACUCCGUGUCGGGUUACAAUGACAAGGGCCCUGUCUGAACCACGACUUUUAGAAAGAUAAUAUUACAGGUCCACAGCUGAUCCAUCUCCCAGUACACAAUUGAGACGGAGGAGGUUAAAGCACUCUGAACGCAUGGGACAAUAUUGCAGGUGUUUGUGCCGGUGGCAGGGUCUUGAUCUUUUGUUCCUCCGGCACCCUCCCAUGUACCGCGAGAUGACCGGCAUGCACACAGGCCUCACAGGUCGGUCACAAGUAUCCAUCAACACACGGUC